rnacentral:lncRNA from 1 species
GAUUCUGUCUUCUCAAAUUCUGUUUGAUCAGAAAUGCUGAAGGAUAAUAAAGGGAGCGGAUGAAUGACUGAGGCCCUACAGCUCCACUAAAGAUUAGAGUAAAAUCUGCACUUCAAAAGAUCCUGUAUUCUUGCAACAGAACAGAGCUCCUGUCCACCUGUGUGUGUCCUUUGAAUGGAUGGCAGCUGCAUCGCUACAUUAAAGCUCGUUAGAAUGAUGAGUCCUUGCUAUGCCCCAAGCACUGUUUUGGGUGUUUGAUAUCUAUUAUCUCACUUCAUCCUCAUCAUGACCCCAUGUGAGGAGCAUCAACGGAAAGAGACAAUGGUGCAUACUGAACCAGAAUACCUAGAGGGAGAACCAUAUGCCCUGACUCUGAGACUAACUUGUGGAUGGCAACAUGCACAUGGUUGGCAGAGGAGGGAAGACAGAACUAUCAUCUUGAAAUGUCUAGUCCAUGGUUCCUGCGGGCAUUCACCUGUGCAAGCUCCCAGCUUGCAGGCUGCUUUUUGUUAGAAAAUACUGUGGGACUGCUUUUCAUUAAGAAGAAAAGCCUUGCCAAGGACUCCCAUACUCUUGCUAUCUGCCUAAGUGAUUUCUUCUUAACUCUUGUAGCAUACUUCUCAGAGAGACAACAGAAGACAGACAGCCCAGAUUGA